AUUAUAAAAAUCUAAUAACACAGUAAUAAGAUUUAUGAUUAUGAAUUAAGCGCGUUUAAUUUAUUACUUUUUCAAAUGAUUUUUUGGCAUUUGCUUCUAAAUGAAAUUAUAAGCUACUAAUUUAUCCAAUGCACUAAAAAAUGAACCAAAUCAAAAUUUCCAUUCAUCUACACAGGUUUACAAGAUUUUUUUACAAGCGUUUGGAAAAUAAAACCAAUACAAAACUAAAUCAAUUUACAGCUUCUAAAAACUAGAGUUCGCAUGCUGCUAUAUUUCAAGGGUCCCUGCAUACAAAAAUAAAUAAAAUAAUAAUAAUAAUAAAUAAAUGAUAAUAAAAAACAAGGCCAGGAAAAAAUAAAUAAUAUUCAAAAUUUCAAAUGCAUAUCCUAAAUUCUUGGGUAGGACCAAAUAAAUUUUAUUUUCAACAAAAAAAAAAUCCAAUGUGAACUAAACACAAAACUAUAUACUAAUUUCUAACAAUAUAUUUUUUUAAAGAAAUUUUUAACAGCAAUAUUAAAACAUAAAAUUAUUACCAGACUAGCAUACUUGUUCCAUGCAAUUUUUACGUCAACUUUAAUUUAACAAUAAAGUAUCUUUGGAAGAUAAAGAGGAGAACACAUCUACAAUAAAUAAGAACAAACUGAUUGCAUGAAUAAUGUAAAUCAUCAAAUAGCAUCUAACAUGAACAACUUCCAAAAAUGAAAAGAAACUAAGCACCUAAAAAUAACUGUCAAAAAUUCAUCAACAUAUAGAUUUGUUCUUGUAAGUAAAAUGCAUUCAAAAUCUAAAUCGUGUUUAUUUAUCCAUUGGCUUAUAUAUUUAGUGUAGUUUUCAUAAUUUUUAUAAUUUUUCGGCAUACCCAAAAACAAUAUCUAAGUGGGGUGGGGGGACACAACUCAAUAUAAUUUUUAACUUUUUCUUUCAUUUUUCUAGCUUGAAACAAUUGAAUGGAAUAAAGCUGCUAUAGAAAUCAGUAUUACAGCAGCAUUCAGUUUAGGAAACAAAUGAAAAAAAAUAACACGGGACUUUAAUUUUAAGAAUUCUUCAGAAGUAAAAAUAUGACCAAAUUACCCUAAUAAUGUCUGUUAAUAAACUACCUUCAUUAUAUUAUUUAACAAAACACAUACACAGAGGUUAUACCAUGUAUGAUUUUCAAUUCUUUUGUAAUUUCCUUAGGCAUUCAUUUUCCGAAAAUCUAAUAUAAACCAAUAUUACCCGCUUAUUACUACUAUUUUCUUUAUUCUAGGUUACUACCAAAAUUAAGCAAAUAUAAAAGAAUUCGGAAAAUAGCUCUUCAAAAUCUAAUUUCUCUUUAGCUAUUUAUUGUUCAAGAAUAAUUUACCAAAAGAAGCUUAUUUGUCGUACAUAAAAGGAUUGUCAUGCUCAGCUAACGAUCCAGUUGACUAACCCAAACUCAUAAUUCCCAUCAUCACCUUUGCAUAACACAUAAUAUUAAUAUAGUGACUGGAAACCACAAAAUUCAUGCACUGAAAUCAAAACAUCACAACAAUUCAAGAAACUUGAAAUUCAUUUGUUGCUCUGAAAAAGGAGAAUACAUCCAGAAUUAACAAGAUCAAAACUUUUCAGGACUACGGAUCCAUGAUUGCAUGAACAACAUAUAUCAUGAGAAUAGCAUCUAAUAUGAAAAACUUACAAAAUGCAAUAGAAAUUAAGCUUUGAAACGGUAGGAAUAACGAUAUCACAACAGAGAAAAAACAACUCAAAUCAAUGUCUUUUUUAGCCUUUUUUAAAAAUUUUUCUAGUAUAAAACACUAAAAAGAAAUAAAAUUACUGUAGAAAUCAACAUUAUCCUGCAUUUACUUUAGGAAACAAACGAAAAGAAGCAGAAUACAUGUGACCUUAAUUUUAUGAAUUCUUCGGAAGUAAAGAAAUUCAAUGCUAUCUAAUUGGAUUUCAUUACUGAAUUUCACAAGUUAUAUACACAUACAUACACACAUACAUUAUCACAUAAAUUUAUUGUCAACCUCCAGAAUUCAGAUGCAAUUUUUUCUUUAAUUUCAACUGUCUAAACAUUUGGACCCUAAUUUUUAUAUUUCUUUCAAUAAAGGCAUAGUUCACCUAUUUCAUCAAAUAAAAACAUGACCAAAUUACCCCAAAUAAUAUCAGUUAAUAAGUAACUUUUAUUAUUACUUAUAAAAUUUACCUUUAUUAUAUUCUUAACAGAUUUUUCUUUGAAUUGGCGACAGUAAGCUCAAGCUUAGGCUACUCAUCACUCAUCANNNNNNNNNNNNNNNNNNNNNNNNNNNNNNNNNNNNNNNNNNNNNNNNNNNNNNNNNNNNNNNNNNNNNNNNNNNNNNNNNNNNNNNNNNNNNNNNNNNNAGAUCGUCUGUCAAUUUUCUCCCCUUGCCAAUCCAUCUAGAAUGGAACCAUAAAACAUGCAAGAAAAAAAAAGGGAUUGAAAAAUGUAAUUGAUAAUUCAAAAUAUAUAAAAAAAUAAUUAAAGUUAAUUUCUAAGCCCUAAUAAGACGAGUUCAAGAAAAGGGAACUGAAUUUAUAAAUUUUUUUAUGCAAAAUGCUUGAGCAUAGAUUUUUAAUACAAUUUCAAACCUUGUUCAUUUACCUCGAACUGUAAGUGUUCGAAAGAUGCCAACUUUUUUAUUGAUUGAUUAUGGGAGAUUAACGAAAGUGAAAAGAUGAGGGAUCUAGGGACUGUAGUGAGAAAGACAGAAGGUAAAAGCGAGAUUUACAAACUUUAAGGGCAAAAACUCAUGGCGGCUGCUUGUUUUUCUUUUUGUUAAGCAUCUACGAUGGUGCCCGGUGAUAUCUUUGAGUUGAGCGGGUAGGGCUUCUUAACAAUGGAACAAUGAGAGGCAUUUAUAUUUUGAAUCAAAAUUUGGGGAAAAAUUAAAAAAUUGUAAAUGUACCCAGUACUAAAAAAAAAAUCGCGUUUUAUCUUGGCGGUAGUUUUACCCGCCGAAAUGAAACCUAAUUACUUAUUGUUUCACCAAAAAUAUAAUUUAAUUAAUUUAAAAAACAUAGAUAUAAAAUUUAAGCUUGUUAAUAUUUUUAUUAUUUUUAGUUGUUAUAUAAAUCAACUUAAUUUAAAAAAAAUAUAGAUAUAAAUGUAAGAUUGAACUAAUUUUGUGAUAAUCGCACACUAUUUAGUAUACAAAUCAUGAACCAUCUAGUGAGUGCAGUAUUAUUCAAAUAAUUUGAUUUAAUUUGGAAAUGUAAUUAUCAUGCUUAAAGCAUAUAACUGUAAAAAUAAUUUAAUAUAACAUUAUUCAAUAUUAAUUGCAUUCAAAUUGUAAUUAUCCAUAUUAUGUACCAUUAUGAAUUUGAUUAUUGUUUACCAAAAUGAUUUACUAUGCCAUAAAAGAUUAAAUAAAGUAAUUAAUUUGACAUAAUUUUGUAUUAAUUAAUUUGCAUAAGAGAUUGUUUGUGAGUUUUAUAUAAAAAUAUCAAAUAUUAGAUGCUUUAUAUUUGUCUAAUAUACAAUUAUUUUUUUGGAUGGUAUACAGAGAACGUAUUAAUAUUAGCCACUAAUAAUAACAAUAACAAUAUUUAAGGGGUAAGUAUGAUGUUUGGUAUGAUAAUUAUUCGAUAGUAGGAUAAACAUUGCAAUCAUUUUUGUAGGUAGAGAUUUAAGUGCAUGUAUGUGUAUUGUGGGGUAUUGGGAUUGAUUUCUUCCAAAUAUUUAGAAUUGAAUUGUUUUCAUUAUAUGUUUUAGAUACUUGGAUUUUAAUGCGAUUAAAAGUUGAUAAAGUUGUUUUGAUAGUUUUUUAA
rnacentral:lncRNA from 1 species